rnacentral:rRNA from 1 species
GUAGGUGGCAAGCGUUGUCCGGAAUUAUUGGGCGUAAAGCGCGCGCAGGCGGUCCUUUAAGUCUGAUGUGAAAGCCCACGGCUCAACCGUGGAGGGUCAUUGGAAACUGGGGGACUUGAGUACAGAAGAGGAAAGCGGAAUUCCAAGUGUAGCGGUGAAAUGCGUAGAGAUUUGGAGGAACACCAGUGGCGAAGGCGGCUUUCUGGUCUGUAACUGACGCUGAGGCGCGAAAGCGUGGGGAGCAAACAGGGAUUAGAUACCCUGGUAGUCCACGCCGUAAACGAUGAGUGCUAAGUGCUAGGGGGGUUUCCGCCCCCUUAGUGCUGCAGCUAACGCAUUAAGCACUCCGCCUGGGGAGUACGGCCGCAAGGCUG